GGAAGCGUUGGGAAAUCGAAGGAGGCAUGCGAUGCAUGAGAAAGACUUUCACUUCUGUUCCCUCUUCCUGGCUCCCCGGACCAAACAUGCACCCCCUUUCCUGUGUUCUCCCUGCCGUCCGCCUGGCCUCACCCUGUCCGCGGUAGGUAAGACUCAAAACAGCCUCUGCCUGCGGCAGAAUUCGACCUCCUCUCGGUUGCAUAUCAGCCGUGCACGUGUUACUUGCAUUAGCAGACGGCAGGGGAGCAAAUGCGGCGGUGAAAUGCGGGCAGAUGUGAGCUCAUGUCUCUUCCAGGCCUUUUCUCUUCCAGAUGAGAAGACGGAAGCCCAGAAAGGCACACUGAUUCUCCAACAUCACACAGCUAAACAGCAGCUCUCUGAUCUCCUUGAGCCCACCAGGCAGCCCUCUGAUGCGUUAAAAGGACACAGCCUGGAGAAGGAUGCACCCCAAAUAACGAUCAGUCCAUUGUACGAAGGAAUACCAUUCCAUGGUACAGAAGAUUUUGAGCAGGAGAGGGAUGGAGUCGAUUCUGCACUGAGAAAGAUGCUUCGGAGCAAUGGUGGAGGACCAGCCAAAGAGGAAGCCUGGAGCCCUGGUUCAGGGGUCUGAGCUGGGACAGGAGAUGUGUUCCAGGGCUGUAGGAGGAGCAGCAAAAGUUCUCAGGCCACGGGCGAGGAAGAAGCUACUGCUAACCUGGGUUCUCUAGGGGUGAGACCAGGACUUCCCCAAAUGACUCACUCAUUAUCAGACCUCCUUCCCCGCCCCGGUCUCGGGAUGGAAAAAACACUUUUCUAGGAAUGCAGCAGGGAGGUGGAAGGAAGCUGCAAUCAGUAGUACAAUCCUCUUUCAAGAAAGACCUUCUUUCUCAUGGGAAGGAAGAGAACAGGCAUUUUCUGAGUCCUUCUGUGGCCUGGCACCGCAUCUGGAAAUGCAGGAAUGAAUGCAUCCUAGCCCUGGACUGCAAGGGCUUCAGAGCCUAAAGAUAAAGAGGGAAAGUGUUUCAAGAGAGCCAAUUUCGGAGACAUGGAAAAUGCUUCCCGAGACUUUUUUCCCCCUCACCAAUAAAAUGUGAUUUCCCGUUUAUAGACAAUGCCUUAUCUCUAUCAUAAAAUCUUCUCGUGUGUUAAUCAGUGCAAGGAGGUGAAGGAAUGUUUAUUAUUGUCAUGGAGGACUUGUAUAUCCAGG
rnacentral:lncRNA from 1 species